UGGCGGACGGGUGAGUAUCGCGUAGGGAUUUAUCGUUGGGUGGGGGAUAACCUUGGGAAACUGGGGCUAAUACCGCAUGACGCCUGAGGGCCAAAGUCGUAAUUGGCGCCUGACGAGGAGCCUGCGUCCGAUUAGGUAGUUGGUUGGGUAAUGGCUGACCAAGCCAUCGAUCGGUAGCUGGUCUGAGAGGAUGAUCAGCCACACUGGGACUGAGACACGGCCCAG
rnacentral:rRNA from 1 species